rnacentral:rRNA from 1 species
AUUGAACGCUGGCGGCAUGCUUUACACAUGCAAGUCGAACGGUAACAGGCCGCAAGGUGCUGACGAGUGGCGAACGGGUGAGUAAUGCAUCGGAACGUGCCCAGUCGUGGGGGAUAACGCAGCGAAAGCUGCGCUAAUACCGCAUACGAUCUAUGGAUGAAAGCGGGGGACCGUAAGGCCUCGCGCGAUUGGAGCGGCCGAUGUCAGAUUAGGUAGGUGGUGGGGUAAAGGCUCACCAAGCCGACGAUCUGUAGCUGGUCUGAGAGGACGACCAGCCACACUGGGGCUGCGACACGGCCCAGACUCCUACGGGAGGAAGCAGUGGGGAAUUUUGGACAAUGGGCGCAGGCCUGAUCCAGCAAUGCCGCGUGCAGGAAGAAGGCCUUCGGGUUGUAAACUGCUUUUGUACGGAACGAAACGGCUCUGGUUAAUACCUGGGGCUAAUGACGGUACCGUAAGAAUAAGCACCGGCUAACUACGUGCCAGCCGCCGCUGUAAAAC